rnacentral:rRNA from 1 species
AGAAUCAACGCUGGCGGCGUGCCUAACACAUGCAAGUCGAACGAGAAAGUGGAGCAAUCCAUGAGUAAAGUGGCGACCGGGUGAGUAACACGUGACUAACCUACCCUCGAGUGUGGAAUAACAUCGGGAAACCGAUGCUAAUACCGCAUAACAUCGCAAGAUCAAAGGAGCAAUCCGCUUGAGGAGGGGGUCGCGGCUGAUUAGCUAGUUGGCGGGGUAACGGCCCACCAAGGCGAAGAUCGGUAGCCGGCCUGAGAGGGCGCACGGCCACACUGGAACUGAAACACGGUCCAGACUCCUACGGGAGGCAGCAGUGGGGAAUUUUGCGCAAUGGGGGAAACCCUGACGCAGCAACGCCGCGUGGAGGAUGAAGCCCCUUGGGGCGUAAACUCCUUUCGACCAAGACGAUAAUGACGGUACUGGUGGAAGAAGCACCGGCUAACUCUGUGCCAGCAGCCGCGGUAAUACAGAGGGUGCAAGCGUUGUUCGGAAUUAUUGGGCGUAAAGGGUGCGUAGGCGGUUUGGCAAGUCUUAUGUGAAAUCUAUGGGCUCAACCCAUAGCCUGCAUGAGAAACUGCCGGGCUUGAGUAUGGGAGAGGUGAGUGGAAUUUCCGGUGUAGCGGUGAAAUGCGUAGAUAUCGGAAGGAACACCUGUGGCGAAAGCGGCUCACUGGACCAUAACUGACGCUGAGGCACGAAAGCUAGGGGAGCAAACAGGAUUAGAUACCCUGGUAGUCCUAGCCCUAAACGAUGAUUGCUUGAUGUGGCAGGUACCCAAUCCUGCUGUGUCGAAGCUAACGCGAUAAGCAAUCCGCCUGGGGAGUACGGUCGCAAGGCUGAA